rnacentral:misc_RNA from 1 species
AAAGAUCAUUGCAAUUCUCCCUUUGUAGAAAGGACAAAAAUUUAAACCAUGCAUAUUCAAGGAAUCUAUAUUGAAACUAUGUUGUUAGUAACCAUUUGGCUGGCAUUUAGGAAGACAACUUUGAAAAUUAUCUUACAUUGUGAUAUUUUACCAACCAGUGCAAAGGCAAUUUGUGGACCUUUGUUGACUCAAAAAAAAACAAAAACUUUAGCAAUGCUCCUUAAUAAUAGACUAGGAAAGAUUGAUAUUGUCUAUAUCUGUUACUAGCAGAUUAGGAGAGAUGGGUGGAAAAGUGAAAAUGGAAAGACCUCAGAGGAAAAAGAUAGAGAGAUGACAAUCCGGUAAAGAGGAAAAUGUGUUACUACUUGUAUGUGCUGAUGUCAUAGUUGUAGAUUGCCAUAUUAUCAUUUUUUUUAAACCUGAGCAUAUGCCAUGAAACUAAACACUAACAAGGCAAAACUGUUCUGACAGGAAAGUUAAAAGAUGUGGG